GACGAACGCUGGCGGCGUGCUUAACACAUGCAAGUCGAACGGAAAGGCCCUGCUUUUGUGGUGUGCUCGAGUGGCGAACGGGUGAGUAACACGUGAGUAACCUGCCCUUGACUUUGGGAUAACUUCAGGAAACUGGGGCUAAUACCGGAUAGGAGCUCCUGCUGCAUGGUGGGGGUUGGAAAUUUUCGGCGGUUGGGGAUGGACUCGCGGCUUAUCAGCCUGCUGGUGGGGUAGUGGCUUACCAAGGCUUUGACGGGUAGCCGGCCUGUGAGGGUGGCCGGCGACAAUGGUACUGCGAUAGGGCGCAGAGUCCUACGGGAGGCAACGGUGGGGAAUAUUGCACAAUGGGCGGAAGCCUGAUGCAGCGACGCCGCGUGCGGGAUGACGGCCUUCGGGUUGUAAACCGCUUUCGCCUGUGACGAAGCGUGAGUGACGGUAAUGGGUAAAGAAGCACCGGCUAACUACGUG
rnacentral:rRNA from 1 species